rnacentral:misc_RNA from 1 species
UAAUGUUUUUUUUUUUUAACUUUUUCAUUAGUGUUGUCUUAUAGUGAGAUAGAUAAGUCAAUUAAACAGAAAAUGACAAAUAUUUUUAGUAAUUUAAUAUUUUUUUUAUUUAAUUUAAAUUACCCUAAACCACAUCAGUUGGAUAGUAUACAGUCUUAAAUUCAGUACCAUUCAAACUAAACCUCAUGAUUUCUCUUUGAAAAUAUUUUCUAGUGGAGAUCAUGAGGAUCAAAACCCUUUGAAUAUUCUUUAGAAUUUCUUUUGCGUAGAAUUAAUCUUUCAGAUUGGGAUUUUAUUAAAUUCAACAAGGUGAAAAAUGCAAAGCAAGGAAACUUAACUAAGGGAAGAUGAAGAUAAAUCAUAUACAAAAACUAGAUUAAUGGUGAACGCAAUGCACUGUGGCAAAGUCACAGGAUGUCUUUGCAAUUUCUUGAAACCUCAGGAAUGGUGAUUUAGGUGACAGAGCUUUUGCCUAACAUUUGGACAUUUCUACAAUUUCCAAAUGAGGUUUGGCUUCUUAAGCAUUACAGGGUGUUCACAGAAGGUGCAUGUGAAUAAAAAGACAACCAAUACUGGCAUACCUGGAUAUGAAGACUCAACAAUGCCUUCUCUAAACUGGAAGCCA